rnacentral:tRNA from 2 species
GGGCCCAUAGCUCAGGUUGGUUAGAGCGCAUCCCUGAUAAGGAUGAGGUCCCUGGUUCAAAUCCAGGUGGGCCCA